CAAGUUCCUGAGACAAAUUAGUCCAAAGAAGGUUGGAAGUGAGGGAGGAGGCUUCUCAAUCAUACGUGCUCAUCAAGUGUGAAUCAGAAAUUGUGCUCUUACGUAUCAACGGCAGACUCGUCUAUCGACGAUGGCUUGCGUCUAAAGUCGUUCCCCAAAAGCAGGCUUCUUUCAAUGUUCUCUUUUUCAGCAAAAUGAUAAAAAAUGAAGACACAUGUAUUCACCCUUCGUUUCUUGUUUCGGUUUAAAGCAUGAAAUGAAUAUGACAAUUGUCGGAACUUAUAUAAAUAAGUGAUAGAUAGUUGUUAUUUGAUACUAGGAACUUAAGAAAGAACGGAAAUAGAAACUUAUAAUACUUUAUUAAUUGUGACACGUUGAAAAUCAGGGUCUUCUGUCGCUGGCAAUGAAGGUAAAAGCUUGAAAUGUUUAAGGUUAUCUGUGAUGCGGAAUAGUUAUAUUGGAAUAGUUAUAUUGAGUAAAAUUGAGAAUUGUA